rnacentral:tRNA from 1 species
CUUAAAUAGCUUAUAUAGAGCGUGAUAUUGAAGAUAUCAAAGAAAUUGAAUAAUUUUUAAGUAA